UAAUACGUAGGGUGCAAGCGUUAAUCGGAAUUACUGGGCGUAAAGCGUGCGCAGGCGGUUUUGUAAGUCUGUCGUGAAAUCCCCGGGCUCAACCUGGGAAUUGCGAUGGAGACUGCAAGGCUAGAAUCUGGCAGAGGGGGGUAGAAUUCCACGUGUAGCAGUGAAAUGCGUAGAGAUGUGGAGGAACACCGAUGGCGAAGGCAGCCCCCUGGGAUGUGACUGACGCUCAUGUACGAAAGCGUGGGGAGCAAACAGGAUUAGAUACCCUGGUAGUCCACGCCCUAAACGAUGUCGACUAGUUGUCGGAGGGUAACUCCUUCGGUAACGCAGCUAACGCGUGAAGUCGACCGCCUGGGGAGUACGGUCGCAAGAUUA
rnacentral:rRNA from 1 species